AUUGAACGCUAGCGGGAUGCUUAACACAUGCAAGUCGAACGGAGUGGCGGACGGGUGAGUAAUAUAUCGGAACGUGCCUAGUAGCGGGGGAUAACUACUCGAAAGAGUGGCUAAUACCGCAUACCAUCGGAUCGGCCGUUAUUGGAUUAGCUAGUGGGUGGGGUAAAGGCUCACCAAGGCGACGAUCCGUAGCUGGUUUGAGAGGACGACCGGCCACACUGGGACUGAGACACGGCCCAGACUCCUACGGGAGGCAGCAGUGGGGAAUAUUGGGCAAUGGGGGAAACCCUGAUCCAGCCAUGCCGCGUGUAUGAAGAAGGCCUUCGGGUUGUAAAGUACGUUUGGUAGAGAAGCGGUAUCUGCAGAAGAAGCACCGGCUAACUACGUGCCAGCAGCCGCGGUAAUAC
rnacentral:rRNA from 1 species